rnacentral:rRNA from 1 species
UACCCGCAGCCCAAGUGGUGGUCGCGAUUAUUGGGCCUAAAGCGCUCGUAGCCGGGCUGGCAAGUCCCUUGUGAAAUCGGGCGGCCUAACCGUUCGGCUGGCAAGGGAUACUGCCGGCCUUGAGGCCGGGAGACGUCAAGGGUACUCCGGGGGUAGCGGUGAAAUGCUCUGAUCCUCGGGGGACCACCAGUGGCGAAGGCGCUUGACGAGAACGGACCUGACGGUGAGGGGCGAAGGCUAGGGGAGCGAACGGG